rnacentral:lncRNA from 12 species
UCGUAGUGAUUUGGAGGCGGAGGGGGGACGGGGGCACGGGCCGGGGACAGGGACAGGCACACAGACACACGCAGCGCCAUGGGCAAGGGCAGUGGCGCCUCCGCCCUUCGCUUGCUCGCAGAGCCCUGCCCGCCUGCUCAGCAUCUCCGUCCCCAUUCAGCGCUCAAAGCCUCUGCCCACCUCAGCCCCACUGCUCGCCUUUUCUCCGCUCUCUUCCGCUCUCUGCCAGCUGUUUCUUUCAACCCUCUUCAGCCCUGCCAUCUCCAAGACUCUGGGAGCAUGUCUCUGCAUCCCCGCCUGUGGCUCCAUCCUCCCUCCUGCUUGUGGAGCAUGUCUCAACACCAUCACACCUUUGCCUGGGCCUCACCUCGACCAAGCCAAAAGACAGGACAGCUGCAGCUUCUACAGCACCACACGAAAGGAACAAGGCUACAUAAGAUGAAACAGAAACUUACUAUGCUAAGGAAAAAGUCUACCGGUAUCAUGGAGAAACAAUACUCAUCAUCAUGAUGGGUCAGCUUCUCAUCAAGAGAGAAAAUACAAGGUGCAAGGAAAGCAAGACCCAUGCCAAGAGCUCUCCUUCAAGUACAGCUCUGGAAGAACAGGGGAAGUCCUGAGGCUCUUCACUGAUGUCAGAACUGAAAACCAGAAAUGUUUCUGUCCAGCAGGAUUGAUCUGAAUUGUGAUCUCAUGUUGUAUCCCCAUGUCCUGGAGCAUACUGUGUGGAGGAAUGGAGGAAAAUGCACAGAUCAUACCACACCAUACCCUCCUCACCUAGAAGGGAAUUAGAAGGGCACUGACUUUCCAUGUUGAUUUUAGACCUUCCCAGUCACCACGGAACUGCAUGGUGAUCCCUGGAAUGUUUCUGGCCCUUGCUAAUCCCACCAGUCCUGAUCCUGAUCGUGACUUGAGGAUUGUCUUAUGUGCUUGAUGUUCCACCUGCUUCAUUGUCACGUUUGCUUGAUAGCCUGGGCUCUGGGCUUCACUUCCACACCUGUCUGCCUUGCUCCCUGGCUGUGGGUGGUGGGACAGGCCCUGGCUAGCAAGACCCUACCCUGGUGGCCACAGUAACCUCCACAGGCCUCCUAGCACCUGGAUUCUCUCCCUCUCAGAGCAGCUGGCACACAUAUCACUAAGAAAGAAUCCCACUCGUAAGCCUAUACAGGAUCCUGAAAUGAUCUCAAAGAAAAAAAAUUCUCCUGUAUUUGCCAUAGGUAUUUUUAGGGCUUAUUUGUGAACACAACAGGAUUUGCGAAUUCAACAGGACACCCAAGAAGCCAUGUAUGUAGAGUUUUCCAUCAGGCAGUCAUCUCAACCACCAGCCUGCCUUUCACCAUCACCCAAAUACAGGUUAGUGAGUACAGUCCAUUGAUGUGAAGUCCAGGAUAACAACCUCCAGUGUCAAAAGGUGUAGUAACUUCUUCCUUGAGGAUAUCUUUCUUUGGAUACUCUAAAUAACCUGGAAAUUCUGUACUUGGCACCAUUCAGUGUUACUGAAGCUGCUCAUUCCCACAGACUAGAGCCAAAAAGCACCUGUAGAGGUGCCUUGUAGAGGGUGUGCAGUGACUUUGACUCUCUUACAGUUUCAUGUGUUCAUGGGGAUUUCUUAACUGUAAAAACUGGAAUGGAGUUGAGAGAAAAAAAAACACCAAAACCAACUGGAGCUCAAGCAACUUCUGAAACAUGAAGGUCACAGAAUUAAAAAAUAAAAUUGUUUUUCCCAUUAAAUAAAGUAGUAGGAGAUGUAGUAAGAGAACAAACAAAAUUUGAGCUAACUUUCAGUGAGUGCUUUGUAUCAUACUUGUAGAAUGAAAAAUCUGAUAUGCCUUCUUAUGGAUAAUGCAAAAGAUAAUGGGCUGUCUUCAAAUGCAGAUGUGCAAGGAUUUUGUAGUCUGACAGACCACACAAAAUAUCAGUUCUCACUAUUGUAAGGUGCAAUGUACAAGGUUUGCUACCAUAUGGACUUUUUAAAGUCCUAUUUAAGUGUCCUUGCUGUGUGGCUGACUUUGUGUUAAGCACUCUAACAACAGAAAGUAUUAUCAGAAGUGCCAUUGGAAUACAUGGGUGAAUGUGUAAAAAAUCUCAACAAAUAUGUCUGAAUUGCCCUCAAGUAGCAGAGACAGUAAAUAUACCAACUUUAGCUCGAAGAGAUUUGAAAUAUUUAUGUAUAUCAACCAUUUCACAUAAAUCUAAGUGGACUCUUAAAAUCCUGGCACUUGUCCUUCAUCCUAAAAAAAAAAAAAAAAGAAAAAAGCAAAAGUAACUCCAAAUCCAACACAAGUCAUUGGAUGGUAACAGAUGAAGCUUCAUAGAGCUGGAGCUAGUAUUUAGAAAGGAAAAAGUAAUUUACUAAAUUCUGCCUUUCACUUUUAUUUUCACAAGGCAAAAGUUAGCAAUAGAUAUUAGGAUGUUCUGAAUCUAAACAAUUAUUCUAGGAACUUUAUAUUAAUAAAA